UUAAGGAUUAUUAUGAUAACCCAUGUGAAGGGCAUUGUAUGAACAUUAACAUCUGUUGACUUUCCCCUCCAGAUUCUGUUGGUGCUCAGGAUCAGAGCGCCACCAUCGCAGCCAUCACUCUCGGGGUUAUAUUGUUUGUGAUCAUCAUUCUCCUGAUUGCUGUUGUCGUCUAUAGACAGUGUGGGCAUUCUGCUGGAGAUCCCGGAAUCUCUUCAACACGCAAUGAGGCACGAACAAUCUACCAGAAUGAGUCCAUCCAUAUGGGGAACCAGGAACUCGCUGAGGCCUCUGAUCCCAAUGCCACCUACACGACUUUACAGCCACAUGAUCAGUCCCUGUACAGUGACCUGAGAGGCAAAAUGGUUGGAUAACUGUCUGAACAGACGGGGACUGGAGCCGUGAAGUGCUGAUGUGCGGCUUAUUCAACCCCAACACGGCCGGGAUCAGCAAACCAUCUCCUCCCCCUCCCGUUCCCAGCACCUUCUCUUUGUGCAGUUGCUGGACUGGAGUCUGGCGGUUUGUAUCACCCACAGUUUGUUUCUCUGUGUUCAAGAACUCUGGAGCGUAAUUCUCAUGUGGUGCUCACAUGGUCCCACUCAGUGAUAUCAUCCACAGGUGUGGGGUAAACUCUAUCUC